GAACGAACUAUAAAAAUCAGUUGAAAAGGCUUAACUCAUCAGAUGGACAAAAAUACAAGUGGACGUGGCCCGGUGCUUGUACAUCAGGACACAAAAAGACACAAUGAACAGAUCUGAGAGUACUCGCAGUUAUCUGACAGCUAGUUCAAAGCCACUAACAACUAAUAAAAAAAAUCAUGCAACAAAGAGUAAACUAUCAAUCCGUACUCAUCCAACA
rnacentral:lncRNA from 1 species